GCUGGGCAUGGUGGUGCAUGCCUGUGAUCCCAGCUACUCAGGAGGCUGAGGCAGGAGAAUCGUUUGAACCCAGGAGGCAGAAGUUGCAGUGAGCCAAGAUCACGCCAUUGCACUCCAGCCUGGGUGACAGAAUGAGACUCUGUCUCAA
rnacentral:sRNA from 1 species